CAAUAGCGUAUAUUAAAGUUGUUGCAGUUAAAAAGCUCGUAGUUGGAUUUGUGGCGUACGACGGGCUCCGGGCACUUGUUGUCUGAGUAGCUUGUCGUUGCCAUCCUUGGGUGGAACCUGUGUGGCAUUAGGUUGUCGUGCAGGGGAUGCCCAUCUUUUACUGUGAAAAAAUUAGAGUGUUCAAAGCAGGCUUAUGCCGUUGAAUAUAUUAGCAUGGAAUAAUAAGAUAGGACUUUGUCGCUAUUUUGUUGGUUUGCGCGAUAAGGUAAUGAUUAAUAGGGACAGUUGGGGGUAUUCGUAUUCCAUUGUCAGAGGUGAAAUUCUUGGAUUUACGGAAGACGAACUACUGCGAAAGCAUUUACCAAGGAUGUUUUCAUUAA
rnacentral:rRNA from 1 species